rnacentral:rRNA from 1 species
UACAGAGGUCUCAAGCGUUGUUCGGAUUCAUUGGGCGUAAAGGGUGCGUAGGCGGCGCGGUAAGUCGGGUGUGAAAUCUUGGAGCUUAACCCCGGAAUUGCACCUAAAACUACAUGGCUAGAGCAUUGGAGAGGGUAGCGGAAUUCACGGUGUAGCAGUGAAAUGCGUAGAUAUCGUGAGGAACACCAGAGGCGAAGGCGGCUACCUGGACAAUUGCUGACGCUCAGGCACGAAAGCGUGGGGAGCAAAAGGG